ACGGAAGGCAGCAGUGAGGAAUAUUGGUCAAUGGAGGCAACUCUGAACCAGCCAUCUCGCGUGAAGGAAUACGGCCCUACGGGUCUUAAACUUCUUUUAUAGGGGGAUAAAGUGAGGCAUGCAUGCCUUUUUGUAGGUACCCUAUGAAUAAGCAUCGGCUAACUCCGUGCCAGCAGCCGCGGUAAUACGGAGGAUGCGAGCGUUAUCCGGAUUUAUUGGGUUUAAAGGGUGCGCAGGCGGCACGUUAAGUCAGCGGUGAAAUGUCGGGGCUCAACCCGGGCACUGCCGUUGAAACUGGCGAGCUCGAGUACGGAUGAAGUCGGCGGAAUGUGAUGUGUAGCGGUGAAAUGCUUAGAUAUCACACAGAACACCGAUUGCGAAGGCAGGAUACCAUACCAUAUCUGACGCUCAGGCACGAAAGCGUGGGGAUCGAACAGGAUUAGAUACCCUGGUA
rnacentral:rRNA from 1 species